GGGAACACAAAGUUUCAUUCCUGGGGCUAAAACUAGGAGGGGAGUGCUCAGAAUAUGGAAACCUUUGAAUGAAUGAGAACACGGAAAAAUGCAGGACAAUCACUUAAGAAUCCUCAGAAGAAGACCUGGAUGGUUUGAGGCUUGCAGACUGCCUCAUAGGAACCUAAGAAACUUCCUUAUACAGAAUCAGAUCAUUGGUCCAUCUAGGCAACCUCUGUACCUCCCCCAAAUCUGCUCUGGAAAACUGGGAGACCCCCCAGAACAGGAGGAGGGGGAGAUAUAUAUUUCAAUCAGAAAGUGAAGACAGGUUGGAAGCCAUGAUUCUGACAACAGCUGUUACAAAGGCGGAAAAAUGGAAAUGGGGAACCUUGCAUCUCAAAGAAACUGUUUUCAGCUGAGCGAGUCUCUGUGGGGAGGUCGAGGUGCGUUGGCCAUUAUAAUCCAGGCAGCGCAUUAGUACUCGAGCUUUUGAAUGACAAGAUUCUGAGAUCCGCAGCCCUUUGAGAUCAUCAGUCUUCAGAGAAACAAAGAACUUCUGCUGACUUUUAUUCUCAGAUGCUAACAUUUGUGCUACCAGAAUCCACACACAACACAAGCUGUGCUGCCCUGUUCAGUAAUUUUGGUCAUGAAUGAUGUCUCCGUUGCAGAUCAGCGGGAUACAUACACCGAGGAGAACACCAGGCUUCUGAAAGCUAAGUAGGGAAUUGUUGACUCGGUCUCUGCUGAUGAUCAUCUCAUUGCUCCAGGCUCCUAGUCUUUCCAUUCGCUUUCUUUCCCACAACAGAGUUCAUUUCAUUUCUAACGUAUCCAGAGGGCAGGUUUGUCCUCAAGGUUGACAGUCACACAUAUAAUAAAUAAUAUGCUUUCCGUUGCCAUUUUUUUAAAAAAAGAAAUGUAUUUAAUGCAGCCAUUAAAUGUGUAUUUCUGUUAACUUCACCAAGAUUAUAACACCAGAUGUGUUAGAGGGAACUUUAGCAUGACUUAAUGCUUACAGUAACUUGGGCUGAAUAAUUUACUACUGUAAAUAACAGCAUAGCUUUGUGAAGGGAGUGCUUGCAUUUUGGAAGUGAAUGAAUGAAACACACAUGCAGUGAAUAAAGAUCAUUAUGGAACAGGA